AUCUACAGCCACACCUCCCUGAUCUCUUCUGAUCUCAGAAGCUAAGCAGGGUCGGGGCUGGUUAGUACUUGGAAGGGAGGAUAAUCCACAUACUGUUC
rnacentral:rRNA from 1 species